GCCGUGGUAGUGCAGUGGUUAGCGCACGCCCCGUAGAGGGUGCAACGCGAGUUCAACCACCGCCCGCGGUU